AUGUGACAAAUGUUUGGCGGUAAGUUUUCUCAUAGUCUAGCUGCGCAGGAAUCCGGUGGAAAUCCGGAACGGACGCGCCACUGUGACCCGCGAAAACGGGAAGUCAGGAACUGCCGGCGAAGACCAUCCCAA
rnacentral:ncRNA from 2 species